GACUUAAGCACAAGUUGCAAGCCCUCCCAGUUGCAGCAGGCAGCAAAUGCCUCGGUUUGCUCCUGCUUUGUGAAGAAUAUUUGCUGACAAUCAAAAUGCAAGGGGUGCUGCUUGUUUUGACCAUUUAUUUGGGCGUGCCUCCUGCUUUUGAAAGUCCUGAAGUCACAAUUUACCUGGCUGUGUCUUUGCAGGAGGCCAGUUUUACUUGGCAGCAGAAGGUGUGACUUUGUAGCACGACAGUUCUUUUUUGCUGUCUCCUUGCCAGUGUUCCAUAGCUCCGCAGAUUUGUUUCCCUGUCAGUGCUCAGCAGUUCUCCAGGUUACAGUUAAUAUUGGAAUGGUUACCCUGAGCAAGUCCCUGUGUCACUUUGACAGUGGCCUAGGAAAUGCCUGGAAGAUGAAAACUGAAGUUGGAGGACCUGUGCUUUCAUCUGUGCUGUGGGUGACCAGUGUCUUUGGGGCAACGUGGAGCCAGCACAGAAAGCUUCCAGAAUAACAGCGCCAGGAGCUGCCUUGCAGUGGGUGUAAAACCUCAGUGCACAUUUCUCUGGAUGUCUCCUGUCCCUCCUGAACGCCUUCACAUUGGGCAUUCUCAGUCUUUGAACUCCUGGCAUGUCAAACUUGUGGGCAUUAUCAAACACAUCAGGAGGAUCUGCUACAAUGAAUGAAUGUUCCAGAGGGCAGUGCACACGAGAGAAAAUCCUUGAGCUCAGUGGAUGAGCGCUGCUUGGAGAAUCUGCCUGGAACACUAAGCUCUUGCUUCACACAGAGGCCCACUGGCAGUUUCAGAGUAACAAGAGGAUAAAUGAUGCUGAUCUUUCUCCACACAAUGACACCUUUAAGAGAGAAAGUUACAGUCCAAACCACAUGCAUUCAGAUUGUGCAGCGUUGUGUCCGUGAACUUCCAGAGUUUGCAUUAAAAAGUGACAGGACAUCAGAGUGCCAGAAGCUUCUCAUAUUGUGGCCCUGAAGAGUUUAACAAAACUCAAAGAAAAGCAGCAGCUAGAGACAACCUGGAACUUGGGCAAAGCCUCCUCUUUCAGUGCCUGGGACCUCACACAGUGCUGUGCUGCCCUGCGAGGCUCCUGUACCCAGCAGAGAUGUGACACGGGGGUGGCAGUGUCACCUCCCCACUGCAGCAGCAGCACCCAGGAGUGGGAUCUCAGCACCUCAGGACUGAUGUGCAGAGUGACCAAGACCACCCUUGGGGGGCUCAGAGGUCCUGGAAUGUUGCCAGAAGUGUCUGGUGGUUGGACUUUGAUCCUGCAUGGGAGAUGACACCUGUAUGAGGAUGGGAGGAUUUCACUGGGGUAAAUGAAGGGAUAAGUUAAUUAGAGUGUGAGACACAGGGUUUAAGAUUUCUGUACAGGGGGGUCUAAAGAAGUAAGAUGGAGGAAUUGGGGCGUGUCCUGUCCUUCUUCUUCUUCUUGGCCUCCAUCUUCUGUGGUGAUGUUGGCACUUUGGGAUUGGUUAUUACUAAAGGUGCACUGGUCAAUAAGGGUGAAAGGUAUUGGGGGAAAUAGGUAAAUAUUGUAUCCGUAGUUUUGAGUAUAAAGAUGAGUGACCGCCCCGGGGGCUCUCAGUGUGCUCAUGGCUGGCUGCUGUGCAGACCUCUGUCGGGCCGAGAGAAAAUCUUUUAGAUAAAUAACUAAUAAACACUGGAGACCG